rnacentral:tRNA from 1 species
GGGCCGGUAGCUCAAUGGGAGAGCAGCUGGCUCAUAACCAGUUNNACAGGUUCGAUCCCUGUACCGCCCA